rnacentral:rRNA from 1 species
ACGGGGAGCAGCAGGCGCGAAACCUUUACACUGCACGCCAGUGCGAUAAGGGAAUCCCAAGUGCGCAGGCAUAGAGCCUGCGCUUUUGUACACCGUAGGGAGGUGUACGAAUAAGGGCUGGGCAAGACCGGUGCCAGCCGCCGCGGUAAUACCGGCAGCCCGAGUGAUGGCCGAUCUUAUUGGGCCUAAAGCGUCCGUAGCUGGCCGCACAAGUCCAUCGGAAAAUCCACCCGCCCAACGGGUAGGCGUCCGGUGGAAACUGUGUGGCUUGGGACCGGAAGGCGCGACGGGUACGUCCGGGGUAGGAGUGAAAUCCCGUAAUCCUGGACGGACCGCCGAUGGCGAAAGCACGUCGCGAGGACGGAUCCGACAGUGAGGGACGAAAGCCAGGGUCUCGAACCGGAUUAGAUACCCGGGUAGUCCUGGCCGUAAACAAUGCCUGCUAGGUGUGGCUCCCGCUACGAGCGGGUGCUGUGCCGUAGGGAAGCCGCUAAGCAGGCCGCCUGGGAAGUACGUCCGCAAGGAUGAAACUCAAAUGAAUUGACGG